AACAAGGAUUCCCCUAGUAACGGCGAGUGAACCGGGAAGAGCUCAAAUUUGAAAUCUGGCGUGCUCAGUGCGUCCGAGUUGUAAUCUAUAGAGGCGUUUUCCGUGCCGGACUGUGUCUAAGUCCCUUGGAACAGGGUAUCAAAGAGGGUGAUAAUCCCGUACUUGACACAAUGACCGGUGCUCUGUGAUACGUCUUCUACGAGUCGAGUUGUUUGGGAAUGCAGCUCAAAAUGGGUGGUGAGUUCCAUCUAAAGCUAAAUAUUGGCGAGAGACCGAUAGCGAACAAGUACCGUGAGGGAAAGAUGAAAAGCACUUUGGAAAGAGAGUUAAACAGUACGUGAAAUUGUUGAAAGGGAAACGAUUGAAGUCAGUCGUGACUGAGAGGCUCAGCCGGUUCUGCCGGUGUAUUCCCCUCAGUCGGGUCAACAUCAGUUUUGUUCGGUGGAUAAGGGCAGCUGGAAGGUGGCACCUCCGGGUGUGUUAUAGCCAGCUGUCGCAUACAUCGAAUGAGACUGAGGAAUGCAGCUCGCCUUUAUGGCCGGGGUUCGCCCACGUCCGAGCUUAGGAUGUUGACAUAAGGGCUUUAA
rnacentral:rRNA from 1 species